UACAGAGGGUGCGAGCGUUACUCGGAAUUACUGGGCGUAAAGCGCACGUAGGCGGCUUGGUAUGUCGGGUGUGAAAUCCCCGGGCUCAACCUGGGAACUGCAUCCGAAACUGCCUUGCUAGAGUAUGGGAGAGGGAAGUGGAAUUUCCGGUGUAGCGGUGAAAUGCGUAGAUAUCGGAAGGAACAUCAGUGGCGAAGGCGACUUCCUGGACCAAUACUGACGCUCAGGUGCGAAAGCGUGGGGAGCAAACAGG
rnacentral:rRNA from 1 species